CUACGGGGCGCAGCAGUAAGGAAUAUUGCACAAUGGGGGAAACCCUGAUGCAGCAACGCCGCGUGGACGAAGAAGGCCUUCGGGUCGUAAAGUCCUUUUCUGAGGGAAGAGGAAGGACGGUACCUCAGGAAUAAGUCUCGGCUAACUACGUGCCAGCAGCCGCGGUAAAACGUAGGAGGCGAGCGUUAUCCGGAUUCACUGGGCGUAAAGGGCAAGUAGGCGGUUGUUUAAGUUAGGGGUGACAUCUCUCGGCUUAACUGGGAGGGAGCGCUUAAAACUAGGCAACUAGAGGGCGGAAGAAGGGGGUAGAACUCCAAAUGUAGCGGUGGAAUGCUCAGAUAUUUGGAAGAAUACCAGUGGCGAAGGCGACCCCCCGGUCCGUGCCUGACGCUGAGAGGCGAAAGCUAGGGUAGCGAACGGGAUUAGAUACCCUUGUAGUC
rnacentral:rRNA from 1 species